CAUUGGACUCUGCCAUCUGGAGAACUUGUGGCCUUUCCAUCUCAGUGGGUCUCCCUCACAUUGCUUCGGAUUUAGCUUUUUGCCGAAUCUAAAGUACAUCUGAAGAUAUCCUUUCUCAGGAAGAAGCAAAAGGCAAACAGUAGUUGAACACUUGGACUGCAAACAUAGAAUUGCUUCAUUUUACUCCUUGUGGGCUUUGGAUGAAACCCACAUACCCAAAGAUGUCUCCUUGCUGCAGAGGUGG
rnacentral:lncRNA from 1 species